AGGAGCCGUAUGAGGGGAAACUCUCAUGUGCGGUUUUGAAUCAGAGGUUAGCGAGGCGACUGGCUAAUCGACUGUAAC
rnacentral:ncRNA from 2 species